rnacentral:hammerhead_ribozyme from 1 species
AUUCAGUUGACGAGUCCCAAGCAGGAAGAAACGCGCGUCCCGGAU